rnacentral:rRNA from 1 species
CCAAAAGCUGGCGACCAGCGCACGGGUGAGUAACACGUAUCCAACCUGCCUCAUACUCGGGGAUAGCCUUUCGAAAGAAAGAUUAAUAUCCGAUAGCAUAUAUUUCCCGCAUGGGUUUUAUAUUAAAGAAAUUCGGUAUGAGAUGGGGAUGCGUUCCAUUAGUUUGUUGGGGGGGUAACGGCCCACCAAGACUACGAUGGAUAGGGGUUCUGAGAGGAAGGUCCCCCACAUUGGAACUGAGACACGGUCCAA